UGGGGAAUUUUCCGCAAUGGGCGAAAGCCUGACGGAGCAAUGCCGCGUGGAGGUGGAAGGCCUACGAGUCGUCAACUUCUUUUCUCGGAGAAGAAACAAUGACGGUAUCUGAGGAAUAAGCAUCGGCUAACUCUGUGCCAG
rnacentral:rRNA from 1 species